rnacentral:rRNA from 1 species
CGUAGGGGGCAAGCGUUGUCCGGAAUUAUUGGGCGUAAAGAGCGUGUAGGCGGUCCGGUAAGUCGGCUGUGAAAGUCCAGGGCUCAACCCUGGGAUGCCGGUCGAUACUGCCGGACUAGAGUUCGGAAGAGGCGAGUGGAAUUCCCGGUGUAGCGGUGAAAUGCGCAGAUAUCGGGAGGAACACCUAUGGCGAAGGCAGCUCGCUGGGACGUUACUGACGCUGAGAAGCGAAAGCGUGGGGAGCAAACAGG